ACGGCUCAGUAACACGUAGUCAACAUGCCCAGGGGACGUGGAUAACCUCGGGAAACUGAGGAUAAACCGCGAUAAGUCACUACUUCUGGAAUGGGUAAUGACUUAAAUCUAUAUGGCCCCUGGAUUGGACUGCGGCCGAUCAGGCUGUUGGUGAGGUAAUGGCCCACCAAACCUGUAACCGGUACGGGCUCUGAGAGGAGGAGCCCGGAGAUGGGCACUGAGACAAGGGCCCAGGCCCUAUGGGGCGCGGCAGGCGCGAAACCUCUGCAAUAGGCGAAAGCCUGACAGGGUUACUCUGAGUGAUUUCCGUUAAGGAGAUCUUUUGGCACCUCUAAAAAUGGUGCAGAAUAAGGGGUGGGCAAGUCUGGUGUCAGCCGCCGCGGUAAUACCAGCACCCCGAGUGGUCGGGACGUUUAUUGGGCCUAAAGCAUCCGUAGCCGGUUCUACAAGUCUUCCGUUAAAUCCACCUGCUUAACAGAUGGGCUGCGGAAGAUACUAUGGAGCUAGGAGGCGGGAGAGGCAAGCGGUACUCGAUGGGUAGGGGUAAAAUCCGUUGAUCCAUUGAAGACCACCAGUGGCGAAGGCGGCUUGCCAGAACGCGCUCGACGGUGAGGGAUGAAAGCUGGGGGAGCAAACCGGAUUAGAUACCCGGGUAGUCCCAGCUGUAAACGAUGCAGACUCGGUGAUGAAUUGGCUUCAUGCCAAUUCAGUGCCGCAGGGAAGCCGUUAAGUUUGCCGCCUGGGGAGUACGGUCGCAAGACUGAAACUUAAAGGAAUUGGCGGGGGAGCAC
rnacentral:rRNA from 1 species